CACCCGAUGGCACAAGGUGUGCAUCUGUUACCCUUCACAAAUAUUGCUACGAGGUUUAGCAGAAGGGCCCCGUUCGAUUCGGGGUCGGGUGA